GUCGAGGGGUAACAUUGUGCUUGCACAGAUGACGACCGGCGCACGGGUGCGUAACGCGUAUGCAAUCUACCUUUUACAGGGGAAUAGCCCAGAGAAAUUUGGAUUAAUGCCUCAUAGUAUAUAGUUGUGGCAUCACAAUUAUAUUAAAGAUUUAUCGGUAAAAGAUGAGCAUGCGUUCUAUUAGUUAGUUGGUAAGGUAACGGCUUACCAAGACUACGAUAGAUAGGGGCCCUGAGAGGGGGAUCCCCCACACUGGUACUGAGACACGGACCAGACUCCUACGGGAGGCAGCAGUGAGGAAUAUUGGACAAUGGGCGAGAGCCUGAUCCAGCCAUGCCGCGUGCAGGAAGACUGCCCUAUGGGUUGUAAACUGCUUUUAUACAGGAAGAAACACUCGGACGUGUCCGAGCUUGACGGUACUGUAAGAAUAAGGAUCGGCUAACUCCGUGCCAGCAGCCGCGGUAAUACGGAGGAUCCAAGCGUUAUCCGGAAUCAUUGGGUUUAAAGGGUCCGUAGGUGGAUGAUUAAGUCAGAGGUGAAAUCUUGCAGCUCAACUGUAAAAUUGCCUUUGAUACUGGUUAUCUUGAGUUAUUAUGAAGUAGUUAGAAUAUGUAGUGUAGCGGUGAAAUGCAUAGAUAUUACAUAGAAUACCAAUUGCGAAGGCAGAUUACUAAUAAUCAACUGACACUGAUGGACGAAAGCGUGGGUAGCGAACAGGAUUAGAUACCCUGGUAGUCCACGCCGUAAACGAUGGUUACUAGCUGUUCGGACUUCGGUCUGAGUGGCUAAGCGAAAGUGAUAAGUAACCCACCUGGGGAGUACGUUCGCAAGAAUGAAACUCAAAGGAAUUGA
rnacentral:rRNA from 1 species